UACAGAGGGGGCAAGCGUUGUUCGGAAUUACUGGGCGUAAAGGGCGCGUAGGCGGCCUGCUAAGUCGAACGUGAAAUCCCUGGGCUCAACCCAGGAACUGCGUCCGAUACUGGUUGGCUUGAAUCCGGGAGAGGGACGUGGAAUUCCAGGUGUAGCGGUGAAAUGCGUAGAUAUCUGGAGGAACACCGGUGGCGAAGGCGACGUCCUGGACCGGCAUUGACGCUGAGGCGCGAAAGCCAGGGGAGCAAACAGG
rnacentral:rRNA from 1 species